UACGUAGGGUGCGAGCGUUGUCCGGAAUUAUUGGGCGUAAAGAGCUCGUAGGUGGUUUGUCGCGUUGUCCGUGAAAACUCACAGCUUAACUGUGGGCGUGCGGGCGAUACGGGCAGACUUGAGUACUGCGAGGGGAGACUGGAAUUCCCGGUGUAGCGGUGGAAUGCGUAGAGAUCGGGAAGAACAUCAGUGGCGAAGGCGGCCUGCGUGGGCUGUUGCUGACGCUGAGGCGCGACAGCGUGGGGAAGCAAACAGG
rnacentral:rRNA from 1 species